rnacentral:lncRNA from 1 species
CUAAUUCAAGACAUGGAAGAAGUAGGUGAUAUUAGCCAUAACUCUAUGGUUGAUCAAAAUGAUCAUCACACCCAGCAAAAACCAGAAAAUGGUUAACACACCCAUGCUAUGACAGCUACUAUGCUCCAACGGUCACAAAGGCAUAUUCAGCACAAGGACAAGCAUAUUCCUUGUUCUUAUCUGCUGAGUCAUCCUCAGGGGUCCUUGCCCUAGGGUUUUCUGUA